rnacentral:rRNA from 1 species
AAUUUGAAGGUCUUUGUACCUAUAAAGCAUUAUACAACUUUCAGCAACGGAUCUCUUGGCUCUCGCAUCGAUGAAGAACGCAGCGAAAUGCGAUAAGUAAUGUGAAUUGCAGAAUUCAGUGAAUCAUCGAAUCUUUGAACGCAUCUUGCGCUCCUU